rnacentral:lncRNA from 1 species
CACAUCCAGGCAAAGGCUCACACUUCUCUCUCUUCCCAGCGCUGCUUUGGGAAACCCUCCUGUGCUGGGGAAUGUGGGACAGGAACACCCUUACUUUUGAGUGCCAACUUUGGUUGGGUACUCCUCUGGACACUUUCCACUGAUCUCACUUAAUGUACUUAACAGUAACCUAGGCUUUGUUAUUCCUCUUCUACAAAUAAGGAAACCGAGGCACAGGGAGGAGAAGCGGGUUGCUUAAGAUAACAAGCUGAUGAGUGUCAGAGCUGAGGCAGAACCCGGGUGUGAAUUCCGGAGUCAUUUUCUUACCUGACAGCCCUCUACCUCUGGAUGGCCCUCUCGUGUAUUACGCGCGCGCUCACACACACACACACACACACACACACCCCCACACACACACGCACACCUUAGAGCCCUUUUAUAAGACACUAGAGCCUAGACAGCAAGGGUGUCCACAUUAUGGUAGUCUCCAUUUACCAUGUACAUACAAAACCACAACAGAACUGCAGGUCUAGUGAAAGCCAUUCUUUUACACCCCCCUCCUCUUUCCACAGAUGGAAAAAGAAUCACAAAUAAGCAAGAUGUGAAGAGCAUGAGCUUCGGAAUAAAGUUUUAAUGGGGCACACCAUGUGCUGGGCAUUGACAUAGAUGGGAGAUGUAUGACCUGAAACAAGGGCUGGAAGCCAAGACUGGGAGGAAGGGCAAAGGGAGCAGGCAGCCUGGCACCAGGCACCAGUGAGGUGUCUGCUCUUUGUCCCCAUCACCUGUCAGCUAAGGAAUUCUGCAUGUCAUCAGUGCAAUAAAAUGUGAUCGCCAGAGUGAAAACCUUGUAACAGACCACCUGUGGCUUCUCUCAACACCAGUACGUCCAACGAGGAUGCAUUUUUAGUGCUUUUGUCGCCUUAACAAAAAAGAUUCAUGAGCAUUGUAUAAAAUGUAUAUUAAAACAAUUUGGUAAAAGUAUGAAAGUAAAAUAGAGUGCUUGUAGAUUUUUUUUCAGGACACACAUACCUAUACAUGUAUAAAAACGUUGUAUUACGGAAGCUUUCACACAUACACAAAAGUAGCAUGAAUAGCAUGUUGGACCCUGAUGUACUCAAGAUCCACCUUCAGCAACGGGAGUGGUGUGUUUAUGAGAGUCCCAAUUAAAGUAACAUGGCUCUUAACAUUUUCCCAAUGUGUCAACAAGCUCCAGUGACCCCAUAAUGCAAACUUAUUCAAUCUCCUGAUAUCCAAGCACCUGAAAUUAUCCCUCAUCUCAUUCCCCAACUGCCUUGAGCUCCUAUCUGAAGUAAGAAAGAGGUAAGUUCACCAAUUUGCCCUAAAUCAUACUGGAAUCCAGGCAAGUGCCUUUAACACAGGAACCGU